rnacentral:rRNA from 1 species
UACGUAGGGUGCGAGCGUUAAUCGGAAUUACUGGGCGUAAAGCGUGCGCAGGCGGUUUUGCAAGCCGGAUGUGAAAUCCCCGGGCUUAACCUGGGAAUGGCAUUUGGGACUGCAAGGCUGGAGUGCGGCAGAGGAGACUGGAAUUCCUGGUGUAGCAGUGAAAUGCGUAGAUAUCAGGAGGAACACCGAUGGCGAAGGCAGGUCUCUGGGCUGACACUGACGCUCAUGCACGAAAGCGUGGGGGAGCAAACAGG